rnacentral:rRNA from 1 species
GACGAACGCUGGCGGCGUGCUUAACACAUGCAAGUCGAACGGAAAGGCCCCCUUGUGGGGUACUCGAGUGGCGAACGGGUGAGUAACACGUGAGUAACCUACCCUUGACUUUGGGAUAACUUCAGGAAACUGGGGCUAAUACCGGAUAGGAGCUCCUGCUGCAUGGUGGGGGUUGGAAAGUUUCGGCGGUUGGGGAUGGACUCGCGGCUUAUCAGCCUGUUGGUGGGGUAGUGGCUCACCAAGGCUUUGACGGGUAGCCGGCCUGAGAGGGUGACCGGCCACAUUGGGACUGAGAGACGGCCCAGACUCCUACGGGAGGCAGCAGUGGGGAAUAUUGCACAAUGGGCGGAAGCCUGAUGCAGCAACGCCGCGUGCGGGAUGACGGCCUUCGGGUUGUAAACCGCUUUCGCCUGUGACGAAGCGUGAGUGACGGUAAUGGGUAAAGAAGCACCGGCUAACUACGUG